rnacentral:rRNA from 1 species
CCUACGGGGGGCAGCAGUGGGGAAUAUUGCACAAUGGGGGAAACCCUGAUGCAGCGACGCCGCGUGAGUGAGGAAGUAUUUCGGUAUGUAAAGCUCUAUCAGCAGGGAAGAAAAUGACGGUACCUGACCAAGAAGCCCCGGCUAACUACGUGCCAGCAGCCGCGGUAAUACGUAGGGGGCAAGCGUUAUCCGGAUUUACUGGGUGUAAAGGGAGCGUAGGCGGCUGUGUAAGCCAGAAGUGAAAGCCCGAGGCUCAACCACGGGACUGCUUUUGGAACUACAUGGCUCGAUUGCAGGAGAGGCAAGUGGAAUUCCUAGUGUAGCGGUGAAAUGCGUAGAUAUUAGGAGGAACACCAGUGGCGAAGGCGGCUUGCUGGACUGUAAAUGACGCUGAGGCUCGAAAGCGUGGGGAGCAAACAGGAUUAGAUACCCUUGUAGUC